rnacentral:rRNA from 1 species
CAGCAGCCGCGGGAAUACAGAGGGUGCGAGCGUUAAUCGGAUUUACUGGGCGUAAAGCGUGCGUAGGCGGCUUCUUAAGUCGGAUGUGAAAUCCCUGAGCUUAACUUAGGAAUUGCAUUCGAUACUGGGAAGCUAGAGUAUGGGAGAGGAUGGUAGAAUUCCAGGUGUAGCGGUGAAAUGCGUAGAGAUCUGGAGGAAUACCGAUGGCGAAGGCAGCCAUCUGGCCUAAUACUGACGCUGAGGUACGAAAGCAUGGGGAGCAAACAGGAUUAGAUACCCCGGUAGUCCCUGUCUCUAUACC